UGGCUGCGAGUGGCGUUGUUGUGUAUGGGCUUUGGGGUUUUUUUUUUUACAUUGCAAUCUGUUCAGUUAUUUCCUUUUCCAGCACUGGGAGAAAGCCGACAGCGGAUCAGGCUGCAGAAGUCUUGCGCUGCCGCAGAAGCGUGUGUGAGCGUGCACAUACAGAGUCGUCCUGGGAACCGGGUCUGCUUGCGAAGCCCCGCGACGGCACAACUAGCAGCGCGGACGCUGAUGCCAAAUGGUAACACAACAGCAAGACGGGCUGUGUCUGUUGCAGGGGCGGGCAGCCUGUGGCACGGGACAGAAGAAGCGACACGAGCAGCUUCUGUGGGUGACGUGCGGUACAGGGACAGAUACGGCAGGAAGCAGAGAGCCAAGCAGCAAACUGGGCAGGGAGCAGAAAGCCGAGCAGCAGAUCCAGCUGGACGGCAGAGUGGACGUACCCGCGAUGCCGGGGGUUGCACACCCCCACAGCAAUCACUGCGUUGUAGAAACACAAGCAGGACUUUACCAGGAGGGACUCAAUCACAAAAAUCAUAGAAAACGGGGGUGUGAAGGGACCUCAGGAGGUCACAUCUCGUCCAAGCAGGACCAGCCCCAACUACACCCUCCCAGCUGGGGCUUAAACACCUCCAAGGAUGGGCAGGUAACGUGUUCCAGUGCUUCACUCCACCCCGAGUGAGAACGUGUUUUCUCAUAUCCAACCUCAGCUUCCCUUGAUGCAGGUAAUAUGCGGGACGCUGCCCCGUCUAACCUUCCUGCGCCGCUCGCCACGGGGCAACGAACGCGGCUUGCUGGGUGCGGCGGCAGGAGAGGACCCGAGGGGCCGAGGCUGAACCCGCGCUCCUGGCCACCUUGCAGCAGAGUCAGGAGGAAAGAAAACCUCAGACGCUGCCGACCCGCUCGGGGCUGCAGGAGGAAGGACGGGGAAAAGCGAGCUAACUGUUGUGGCCGGAGGAGUCACCCCAUCCCCCUGGCAGCGAGCUGGGUGCCAGGCCUCUCGGGGGUCUCGUGGGUCCGCAGCCAGGUCCCCCCCAGCCCCAGCUCUGCAAAGAUGCCCGCUGAGUGCAGGCAGAGGAUCUGGUCCUCCGCGCUUGGGGCCCAGCUCCCCGGCGCUGCGCCACAGCCGCCGAGGAAGAGAAGCGCCCCCGGCCCCCGGCGUGACGCCGGGCCACAG
rnacentral:lncRNA from 1 species